GCCUGGGUGGCUCAGUCAGUUGAGCGUCUGGCUUCAGCUCAGGUCAUGAUCUCACAGUUUGUGGGUUCGAGCCCCUCAUUGGGCU
rnacentral:tRNA from 1 species